rnacentral:rRNA from 1 species
GUGGGGAAUAUUGCACAAUGGGGGAAACCCUGAUGCAGCAACGCCGCGUGAAGGAAGAAGGCCUUUGGGUCGUAAACUUCUGUCCUAAGGGAAGAUAAUGACGGUACCUUUGGAGGAAGCCCCGGCUAACUACGUGCCAGCAGCCGCGGUAAUACGUAGGGGGCGAGCGUUAUCCGGAAUUAUUGGGCGUAAAGAGUGCGUAGGCGGUUUUUUAAGCGCGGGGUGAAAGGCAGUGGCUUAACCACUGUUAGCCCUGCGAACUGGGAGACUUGAGUGCAGGAGAGGAAAGCGGAAUUCCUAGUGUAGCGGUGAAAUGCGUAGAUAUUAGGAGGAACACCAGUGGCGAAGGCGGCUUUCUGGACUGUAACUGACGCUGAGGCACGAAAGUGUGGGGAGCAAACAGGAUUAGAAACCCGAGUAGUCC